rnacentral:rRNA from 1 species
CCUACGGGAGGCAGCAGUGGGGAAUUUUGGACAAUGGGCGCAAGCCUGAUCCAGCAAUGCCGCGUGCAGGAUGAAGGCCUUCGGGUUGUAAACUGCUUUUGUACGGAACGAAAAGUCUUGGGUUAAUACCCUGGGAUCAUGACGGUACCGUAAGAAUAAGCACCGGCUAACUACGUGCCAGCAGCCGCGGUAAU